rnacentral:rRNA from 1 species
ACGAACGCUGGCGGCAUGCCUAACACAUGCAAGUCGAACGAGACCUUCGGGUCUAGUGGCGCACGGGUGCGUAACGCGUGGGAACCUGCCCUUAGGUUCGGAAUAACUCCCCGAAAGGGGUGCUAAUACCGGAUAAUGUCUUCGGACCAAAGAUUUAUCGCCUUUGGAUGGGCCCGCGUUGGAUUAGCUAGUUGGUAGGGUAAAAGCCUACCAAGGCGACGAUCCAUAGCUGGUCUGAGAGGAUGAUCAGCCACACUGGGACUGAGACACGGCCCAGACUCCUACGGGAGGCAGCAGUAGGGAAUAUUGGACAAUGGGCGAAAGCCUGAUCCAGCAAUGCCGCGUGAGUGAUGAAGGCCUUAGGGUUGUAAAGCUCUUUUACCCGAGAUGAUAAUGACAGUACCGGGAGAAUAAGCUCCGGCUAACUCCGUG